rnacentral:rRNA from 1 species
AACGAACGCUGGCGGCAUGCCUAACACAUGCAAGUCGAACGGGAUCCUGGCUUCGGACAGGUGAGAGUGGCGGACGGGUGAGUAACGCGUGGGAACCUGCCCAGUGGUGGGGGAUAACUGCGGGAAACUGCAGCUAAUACCGCAUGAGCCCGAGAGGGGAAAGAUUUAUCGCCAUUGGAGGGGCCCGCGUUCGAUUAGGUAGUUGGUGAGGUAACGGCUCACCAAGCCGACGAUCGAUAGCUGGUCUGAGAGGAUGAUCAGCCACACUGGGACUGAGAUACGGCCCAGACUCCUACGGGAGGCAGCAGUGGGGAAUAUUGGACAAUGGGGGGCAACCCUGAUCUAGCAAUGCCGCGUGAGUGAUGAAGGCCUUAGGGUUGUAAAGCUCUUUUGCCAGGGAAGAUGAUGACUGUACCUGGAGAAUAAGCCCCGGCUAACUUCGUGCCAGCAGCCGCGGUAAU